GUAGGUGGCAAGCGUUGUCCGGAAUUAUUGGGCGUAAAGCGCGCGCAGGCGGUUCUUUAAGUCUGAUGUGAAAGCCCACGGCUCAACCGUGGAGGGUCAUUGGAAACUGGAGAACUUGAGUACAGAAGAGGAAAGCGGAAUUCCACGUGUAGCGGUGAAAUGCGUAGAGAUGUGGAGGAACACCAGUGGCGAAGGCGGCUUUCUGGUCUGUAACUGACGCUGAGGCGCGAAAGCGUGGGGAGCAAACAGGAUUAGAUACCCGUGGUAGUCCACGCCGUAAACGAUGAGUGCUAAGUGUUAGGGGGUUUCCGCCCCCUUAGUGCUGCAGCUAACGCAUUAACGCACUCCGGCCGUGGGAGUACGGCCGCAAGGCUAG
rnacentral:rRNA from 1 species